CACUUCUGUAACACCCGGCUUUAAGGGACAAAGCCAGGUGCAUCUCAUACAUGCGCCAUGAAGACAACAUAUACAAUAACAGAGUGUAUAGAGAUAAAUGUCAUAAUAACAUCAGAGUACUUAUUACAUAGCGGAAGACUUAUUACAAAAUAAAGGAAUAAAUGUAAAACGAACUAAGGAUCGUCGGCGCAAAUGUCGACUGAGAAACGCCACCUAGAUCAGAUCAUACUCCUCGCCUUGUGGCUCCUCCUGAACCACCUGUUCUUCUCCUGUGGGGGGGUGUGAGAUAGCAAGAGUGAGCUCACAUACGUUCAUCGCUCAACAAGUUGUGGGGAAUAAUGUGGCAUGAACUCACCAAAGGUGGGAGUUCAUGAAGUGUAAGGCUGACCAAUGAAAUAGAGGCUGAAGCUGAGCAUUGCUUUUAUAAGUUGGUCAAAAUUUUAUUAGCAAUUACUAAGUGUAAGUAAGUACCAAACCUUAAUAAUAAUAAAGAACAGUAAUAGUAAAGUAAUCCCAAAUGCGAUGCAAAUGUCAAAUUGAAUUUAAGUUCCAUAAUUAAUCAUGUGAGGGUCCGAGCCGCUCUUGACCGUGAGCACGGCUAGUAUACCAGUUUUACACUCUGCAGAGGUUGCGCAUCUUUACCCACAAGUCAUGUUACCCAUCUGCCAAGAGAUGGCCAAUCCCAUACACCUCUACCGAGGAGGCGAGGCAGGGUAACACUACGAGGCCUUUACAAAGUUCCACUAGCUUCAGAAAUCCCGCUACAGUUUAUAGGAAGCUCCAGUGCAGGGUUCUUGCCUGACCGCCAUCGCAGCAAAAUCAACCCAAGGACCUCCCUACACUGACCACUCCCCUACUGCCCUUGCCCCUUUCGGGUAAGGAAGACCUCCACUAGCUUUCCUAGUUAAUCAGCCAAGGGCGUCCCAUUAUACCCUUAUGGUAGCACUGUUUUCCCGGGUGGUCGCUCCAUGUUCCCAUUAACAUAAUGAUCUUAACAUGAACAGUAAUAAUAAAAGAGAAUAAAAGAGUAAUUAUGAAUAAAGUAUCUUCAUACCCAAAUCCACAUAAAGCAAUAGCAGGUACUACCCAAAGAAAUAUUUCAGUAGUGAACAAGGUAUAAAGAUAGCCAAAACUAGGAUAACCUAUUGGGUCCCAUCAAAAUUAUCCUAUGCAGAUCAUUAUAAUUAAUAAGAACAUGGCUGGGAAAAGUAAGUGAUCAAGGGCACAACUUGCCUUCAAUGAGCUCCUGCUCAGCUACUUCUACUUGUUGAACCUCAGAAUCCACAGUGGCUUGCUCGUCUAUUCGCAUCAACACAAUACAUACAUAGUAUAGCCAAAAUCAACAUCACACCAAACAGAUGAAUAAAAUAUACAGUAAAAAUCUACACAUUAAAAUGAAAUCAUAGGAACUGGAAUCACUAAAUUUGGAGUUAUAGAAUUCAAGUUAUGAAUUUCCUAAGGUUUAAUGUGAUUAAAAUAGGAUUAAAUGUUUAAAUUAAUGUUCUUACUGUUUUUAUGCCAAAACAGAGAUACUAAAUGAUAGAGAAGAUUAUUACAAAAUUUUAGAAAUUGGAAUGGGGUAAUUUGGAGUUCAUAUGAGUUUUCUAUGGAAUAAACAAGUCCUAGGAGUUGUUUUUUAUUAAAAAUACAUUUCCUAAUUUAUUUAAUCUGAUUUUCCUUUCCCUGGAUUGCGCCCCAAUAUUCAGAAAGGUUAAGGGCUCAGGCGUAAGAAAACCCCAGACUCAGAGGGCUGCAGCAUUGGACGGCGGGUUGAUAAUACAAAACCCCAGGGUUUAUUUUACAAAUCCUGCAGCUGAAGGGGUACGGGAGGAUUGCAGCCGCUCGAUUAGAUUUAAAUGGCCCGGAUUAGAAAAUGAAGAGGUAUGCAUCCAGAGCCCUAGGAUUUGAGAUCAAUGCUCUGGAUUUUAAAACGCCAGGAACACCCCUCGCCCCUCCAUCCAUCGAUCAACGGCCAGGAUGGGCCAUGGCCGAAACACCAUCCUACACCUAUUCACGAUCGCACAAUCACGAUCCGACGGCCAUGGCUCUUCUCUCUCACCUUAAUCCCGAGACGGCGGCGCAUGGCCCUGACGCGGCGGAGCCAUGGCCGGCGCACUCCCAAAUUCGGCUCCAGCAAUCGAACUUCGAUCCGAAGGCAAUAUCACGCAAAGGAUAACGAUGCGAUACGAUGGGGAGGUUGCUCACCGUGAUUCCAAGAGUGCCCCGGGCCAUCCACGGGGAGCGGCGGAUCCCAGCGUUCGACGAUGAAUCCCGGCCGCCACAGGGUCAAUCCUUCCCUAUCCGGCCACGGGUGUUCCACCGGCCAGCACAUGAAGCUUCUGGACUCAUCGCAGACCCCCAAACGUCAGUCGUGGACGGGGACGAUGCUGACGGCGUCCCUGCUCUCAACUCUCUCUUCUGCUCAGGCGCUGGCGGCCGAGAAGUGCGUCGCGGGUGGAUUCGAUCGUGGAGGCCGCGCGGUCAGUGACAGGACGGAUCGAUUUGAGGUCCGUGAUGCCGGAGUUGGCCGCGGCGGUGGUUUAUUAUGGCCAUGGCGACCCGCACAGAGGGAUGAAGCCU
rnacentral:lncRNA from 1 species